UACGUAGGGGGCAAGCGUUGUCCGGAUUUAUUGGGCGUAAAGAGCGUGUAGGCGGCCAUGCAGGUCCGUUGUGAAAACUCGAGGCUCAACCUCGAGAUGCCGAUGGAAACCCCCUGGCUAGAGUCCGGAAGAGGAGAAUGGAAUUCCUGGUGUAGCGGUGAAAUGCGCAGAUAUCAGGAAGAACACCCGUGGCUAAGGCGGUUCUCUAGUACGGUACUGACGCUGAGACGCGAAAGCGUGGGGAGCGAACAGG
rnacentral:rRNA from 1 species